rnacentral:rRNA from 1 species
GAUGAACGCUGGCGGCGUGCCUAAUACAUGCAGGUCGAGCGAACGGACGAGAAGCUUGCUUUUCUGAUGUUAGCGGCGGACGGGUGAGUAACACGUGGAUAACCUACCUAUAAGACUGGGAUAACUUCGGGAAACCGGAUCUAAUACCGGAUAAUAUUUUGAACCGCAUGGUGCAAAAGUGAAAGACGGUCUUGCUGUCACUUAUAGAUGGAUCCGCGCUGCAUUAGCUAGUUGGUAAGGUAACGGCUUACCAAGGCAACGAUGCAUAGCCGACCUGAGAGGGGGAUCGGCGACAUUGGAACUGGGCCACGGUCCAGACGCCUACGGGAGGCAGCAGUAGGGAAUCUUCGGCAAUGGGCGAAAUCCUGACGGAGCAACGCGGCGUGAGUGACGAAGGUCUUCGGAUCGUAAAACUCUGCUAUUAGGGAAGAACAUAUGUGUAAGUAACUGUGCAGAUCGUGACGGUACCUAAUAAGAAAGCCCCGGCUAACUACGUG